AGCACGGGCGCCGCCGCGCGCAGAACCUUCGCUCGGGGCUAGUCCCGCGCGGUCGGUCCCCGGGCGCGGCUUUCUUCCAGCCGCUUGCAUUCGCAGUUCCCAACUUGUAGACGGACUUACAAAAUAUUAUUAUAGAUGAAGCCACGUUUCAACGCUGGUGUUAGGGGCCUUUUGCCAAAAUGGAAAGUUGUUAACAGAACAAGUCGAAAGCGUUCUUCAUCACACGUACUUAGAGAAAUUGAGUUCAUUGCGAAAAUUAUCAUCAUUGGAGGCAGGAUUGAAGGAUGUCUGUCGAAUAGAAAAGCGCGUGGGCGGACUGCCUCCUCCUGACUCACCUACCCACUUCCUACCCUAUCCGGCGUGUCCUCAACUUGGGGGGCUCUAGGUGUCUUUCUACAGAAGGCUAAUUCCUGCUCCUUUUCAAGAUUCGGCUUAGGUGACGCUUCUCCUCGGCUCCCAGUUAUCGGACUCCCUGUUGUGACCUCCUUAGCGGCUUCCCCAAUAUUUUGGGGUCCUUGGAGAGCUGGAGUGGUGGCCUGUUGCCGUGUAUGAAAUCCUGUAGUGGCCCUAAUGGAAUAAGGGCAGCCUACCGGCCUCUACAACAAGGGAUAAGGAGUAUGAGUGAUCACCGGGAGCCAAGGAGUUUGAAACGGAGCCCAGCGGAGUGGGCCGUCUACCGAGGGCAGAUAAGUGGCCUCCACACCCCGGCCACAGGCAGAAGAACGUGGCUGGCUGCUGCAGCACCCUACUAGGUCCUCGCCCACCUCUUUCUCGGGGAGGGACGUACCUGGCCAGCAAGGGGGGAGCGCACUCGAUUCAGCCUUUAGGGGAAAACCCACUUCUCAAACCUCAUUCCUUUUCUGCACGGCCGAGCCCCAGGGGCCGUUACCUAACUGACCCGCUCCUGGCGACCUUUCGCCAGGCUGGCCCUGCCCGACCCGGCCCAAGGCCAAAAGGCCGCGCUCCCGGGGAAGGCGUGCGCUCGACCGGGGACGCCCAAGCCUCCCUGGCCCCGACCCCGCCACGGCCUCUCCAGCCGCGAGCCGCGAGCCGGGAGCCGGGAGCCGGGAGCCCGGAGCCCCGCGUCCCGCGCCUGCGGCGGGCGGGCGGCGCCGUCUCCGGCCCGCCUCAGCCCCUCGCCGCGCCCCCCCACACCACGCACCCCAAAGCCCCGCCUCCUGCCGUCCAUCCCUCCAUCCCUCCUCCAUCCACCUCCUCCCCACUGCGGCGCCAGCUUCACCUGCCUCAGCCCGCCGCCGCCGCCGCCGCCGCCGCCGCCGCCGCCGCCGCCGCCCAGCCGCUCCUUCCCUCGGGAUCGUGCAGCGCCACGACCCCAGAGCGGCGCCCCCAGCCCCACAGCCCCGCGCUUGUCCCGGACGCGCCCUCUCCUCCUUCACCUGCCCCCGCCCCGAACCUCUACCUUGUAGGAGUCGGUGGCCAGGAGGAUGUUGAACUCGGCGUCUGCCGCAGCAUUCAUCUCGGGCGGGAGUGUGAGGGCCACGCGCCGCGAGGUGCCCGGCGCGGCGGCGAGGAAGGAGAAAAAUGAGCUUCACCGCGCUCCGUUGCUUAAGUCACCGCUCGGUCGGAGGGGCGGGGGAGAGGAGGGCGAAGAGGAGUGGGGAGGAGGGGCCACAGAAGGGCGGGCCCGGGAGCAGUGACGCGGAGGAGGGUGGUGGCGCCGGUAGCUCUCGAGCUCUCAGCCCAGGGACUCCGACCGACUCCUCACCUCGGCUCCCCGCCCCCACCCCCGCCCCAUUACCCCGGAGGGGACGCGAGGGGCGGGGCGCGGCCGCGCGUGCGCAGCGCGCGAGGGGGCGGGGCUGGGGGAGAGGACGUGAGGCACGCGCUCUUUCUCCAGGACGCCAGCUCCGGGAAAGCGGAGGCUUCCGGGCAGUCCCGGUGUGGGACCCGCGUCCCUACGUUGAUUUCAUUUCCCGACACCGCGUAACGGAGAGCGGCGGGAGGGGGAAUUCCCAGCCUCGCCCCUCCUGCGAUUAGCUGGUUCGUCCGCCUGGCUGACCCCUUCCUGUCCUACCCUGUCCUGGCUCGUUUUCUGAGUCCUCCUGAAGUCACGCCACCCGACUGGUGGCCGUGAAGCCUUCCUCUGCCGGUCUCCCCAUCCCCCUCCCGCAGUUACUCACCUUUGUCUCCGGCUGGGAUUGGGGAUCGAACCUUUUGCCUGCAUCCCUCUUGUCCCUCUAGGU